UACGUAGGGACCAAGCGUUGUUCGGAUUUACUGGGCGUAAAGGGCGCGUAGGCGGUUUGACAAGUCUGAUGUGAAAUCUAUGGGCUCAACUCAUAGUCUGCAUUAGAAACUGUCGGGCUUGAGUAUGGGAGAGGUGAGUGGAAUUUCCGGUGUAGCGGUGAAAUGCGUAGAUAUCGGAAGGAACACCUGUGGCGAAGGCGGCAUCCUGGACCAUUACUGACGCUGAAUCGCGAAAGCUAGGGGAGCCAAACGGG
rnacentral:rRNA from 1 species